rnacentral:rRNA from 1 species
UACAGAGGGUGCAAGCGUUAAUCGGAAUUACUGGGCGUAAAGCGUGCGUAGACGGUUAUGUAAGUCAGAUGUGAAAGCCCCGGGCUCAACCUGGGAACUGCGUCCGAUACUGGAUGGCUUGAAUUCGGGAGAGGGAUGCAGAAUUCCAGGUGUAGCGGUGAAAUGCGUAGAUAUCUGGAGGAACACCGGUGGCGAAGGCGGCAUCCUGGACCGGUAUUGACGCUGAGGCGCGAAAGCUAGGGGAGCAAACGGGG